rnacentral:rRNA from 1 species
GACGAACGCUGGCGGCGUGCUUAACACAUGCAAGUCGAACGGAAAGGCCUGCUUUCCCUUGUGGAUUGCGGGUACUCGAGUGGCGAACGGGUGAGUAACACGUGAGUGAUCUGCCCCCAACUUGGGUAUAAGCCUGGGAAACUGGGUCUAAUUCCCGAUAGGACUGCAGGGUGGUGCCUGUGGUGGAAAACGAUUUUCUAGUGGUUGGGGAUGAGCUCGCGGCCUGUCAGCUUGUUGGUGGGGUAAUGGCCUACCAAGGCGGCGACGGGUAGCCGGCCUGAGAGGGUGGACGGCCACAUUGGGACUGAGAUACGGCCCAGACUCCUACGGGAGGCAGCAGUGGGGAAUAUUGCACAAUGGGCGGAAGCCUGAUGCAGCGACGCCGCGUGGGGGAUGACGGCCUUCGGGUUGUAAACUCCUUUCGACCGCGAGGAAGCCACCUGGUUGGAAGGGUGGUGACGGUAGUGGUAGAAGAAGCACCGGCUAACUACGUG